AUUGGGGUAGUCUGACCGCAAGUGGACUACUGACUUGUAAUCAGUAGGUUGCGGGUUCGAGUCCCAUCCUCGGCA
rnacentral:tRNA from 1 species